AUGAACGCUGGCGGCGUGCCUAAUACAUGCCAGUCGAGCGAACAGAUGAGGAGCUUGCUCCUCUGACGUUAGCGGCGGACGGGUGAGUAACACGUGGAUAACCUACCUAUAAGACUGUGAUAACUUCGGGAAACCGGAGCUAAUACCGUAUAAUAUAUUGAACCGCAUGGUUCAAUAGUGAAAGACGGUUUUGCUGUCACUUAUAGAUGGAUCCGCGCCGCAUUAGCUAGUUGGUAAGGUAACGGCUUACCAAGGCAACGAUGCGUAGCCGACCUGAGAGGGUGAUCGGCCACACUGGAACUGAGACACGGUCCAGACUCCUACGGGAGGCAGCAGUAGGGAAUCUUCCGCAAUGGGCGAAAGCCUGACGGAGCAACGCCGCGUGAGUGAUGAAGGUCUUCGGAUCGUAAAACUCUGUUAUUGGGGAAGAACAAAUGUGUAGGUAACUAUGCACGUCUUGACGGUACCUAAUCAGAAAGCCACGGCUAACUACGUG
rnacentral:rRNA from 1 species